CGGUUACAAGAGACGUUGGAAGGUUAGUCUCUCUCUAUCUCUCUCUCUCUCUCAAUCUGUUUUGGUGUUUUCUUUCAUGAUUUGCUUGCUCAUUUGUGCAAUUUCAAGAUGAACUUUUGGUAACUUUCAACAUGAUCCCUUCCUGUUAAUCUUCAUACAUGAUCCCUUCCUGUUGAUAACUCAGACCCUACAACGCCAUUAGUCAUGAACUGAUGUCUCUGUCUAGUGUGUCAUAAACGCGAGGCUAGACACAACUGCAGGACUAAUGCAUUUUCUUUCUCUCCUACAAAACCUGCUACAAGUUAGCCCCUUCAAAUGUUUCCCAACUUGGGACGCCUUGUUGAAGAAAGACCAGAGUUUAAGUGGGAACAGUCAAUCUUCUCGUUCUCGUUCUACCAGCCAUG
rnacentral:lncRNA from 1 species